rnacentral:rRNA from 1 species
AACGAACGCUGGCGGCAUGCCUAACACAUGCAAGUCGAACGAGACCUUCGGGUCUAGUGGCGCACGGGUGCGUAACGCAUGGGAACCUGCACUUAGGUUCGGAAUAACUCCCCGAAAGGGGUGCUAAUACCGGAUAAUGUCUUCGGACCAAAGAUUUAUCGCCUUUGGAUGGGCCCGCGUUGGAUUAGCUAGUUGGUAGGGUAAAAGCCUACCAAGGCGACGAUCCAUAGCUGGACUGAGAGGAUGAUCAGCCACACUGGGACUGAGACACGGCCCAGACUCCUACGGGAGGCAGCAGUGGGGAAUAUUGGACGAUGGGCGAAAGCCUGAUCCAGCAAUGCCGCGUGAGUGAUGAAGGCCUUAGGGUUGGAAAGCUCUUUUACCCGGGAUGAUAAUGACAGUACCGGGAGAAUAAGCUCCGGCUAACUCCGUG